GGGCGGGGGCACCGGCACCACCCGACGGGCACCACCGCCCGACGCCUCUUCCCGGCCCCCAGCCAAGGAAUGCCCUGCUUCGGGUCAGGGCCCUGGAGUGCUGGACUCUCUCCGGGCUGGCACGGGGCCGCCAGGGACAGCCCAGGUCACACAUGGGGUCAGCAGAGCGGUACCGAGGUAAUGCCAACAUAGAUGUGAAAGAGGUGCCUGGGGCGGGCUGAGGAGGGUGCGCAGGGCUGUCCGCGGACAGGUGCCCUGCUGGCAUGCCCUCUCGCUCCCCACACCCUCUGUUCAGAGAAUGGUGGGACAUCGCCCCCCUGCCCUUGCCUCGUAACAGACAUGGUGUCGCCCAGCAGACUCCGGCCUGGGCUCUUGGAAAGAAUUGUGGGAACUGGGGGCCCUGUCUGGCUUGAGAACAGCCCUGCUGCCCUUUUGAGCCGAGAUUUUGAAGUGGAUGCCCGUCUUGCCAGAAAUGCUGUUCUCACCAGAAUGCCCCCAUCCCAUGCUCCCUCACUGGACUUGGCCCCUUGCCCAGUGCCAAGCAAAGACCUUCCCUUGCCUCCCCACCAUCCCCCUUGGAAAGGCCAAGUGUCCCCUCCAGGCAGCCCUGGCCCUUGGGCCCUGCCUGCCUGUCCUUGCUCCCCAAUGGGAAGGUGACCAAGGUCUGUGUGACCUUGUUUCCCAGUGUGAGCUGCCCUCUCCCCAAAAGCUGACUCACUGUGAGUGACUUGGGCAAGUUCCCAAACCUCCUCGUGCCUCAGUUUCCCCAUCUGGAAAAAAUGGGGCCACCUCUUGCCAGCAGUAGCAGGGCCACCCAUGCCCCUUCCUCCCCACACCCCUCUCCCAGCACUUGGGCAUCUCGUGCCUCUGCCUCAGUGGGUCUGAGGGGGCCCGCCUGAGCCUAGCACUUACUCCCCAUGGGCACCAAGCUCUGCUUGCUCAACCGUCGCUGAGAGCCAGGGUGUCCUGCUGUGGGGUCGGGGAUGCCCUCUUUCUAUAUUUAUUUCAAAAAGAAGUCUCCUAAGGGAGUAGAAAUGCAGCCUGGCCCAGGGCUCCCGCCCCUGUGACUCCCUCCUGUGGGGGCUCAGCUGUGCCCUUGCCCAGCAGCCGGCCAGGCCCUCCGGGCUGCUGGCCACGUGUGGUCUUUCUCCUCCUCUUCAAAGCAAUAUCCUCCAGGUCUACGAAGCCCUAUCAGACAGAGGUCAGCCACGUGUCUGAUGACAUUGCUAGCAAAGCAGACAAGAGGAGGUUGGGUCUGCCCUCACUGACUGUCACACGCUGAGAGAAGUCCAAUUGUAAAGAAAACAAAACAGAAAAAGUCACAAAAAAAUUUGUAUAAAGACAUAUUUUUGUACUACAUGGGGACUCUUCCUGCAUGUCAGCAAUAAAACUUCCUGAUCUGGAGCCAC